AACGAACGCUGGCGGCAUGCCUAACACAUGCAAGUCGAACGAGUCCUUCGGGCUUAGUGGCGCACUCGUGCGUAGCCCGUUGGGACCUGCCUUUGGGUUUGGCUUAUCUUGCCGGAUGACGUCCUAAUACCGGCUCUUGUAUUCCAUCCAAAGAUUGAUCGCGCUUGGAUGGGCUCGAGUUGGAUUACCUUGUUGGUAGCGUAAAAGCCUAUCAAUGGUACGAUCCAUAGCUGGUCUCAGAGGAUGAGCAGCCACACUGGUACUGAGAAACGGUCCAGAAUACUAGGGGAGGCAGCAGUGGGGAAUAUUGGAAAAUGGGGGAAAGCAUGAACGAGCAAUGACGCGUGAGUGAUGAAGGCCUUAGGGUUGUAAAGUAAUUUUACACGGGAUGAUAAUGACAGUACCGGGAGAAUAAGCUCCGGCUAACUCCGUG
rnacentral:rRNA from 1 species